GAGCUGGUGGAGGAGAACAAAGAGGGUACACUUACCCCUGGAAGCCCCACCCCAAGCCCCACCACACCCCUCUGGAGGCCUGAAGAACGCUUCAGCACAGAUAACCUGCGCAGGAGAUGCUGCUGGCGGGCUUUGAGGCGUUUCCGCUCCUGCAGCUGUUGCUUCUCCUUGGCGUGCAGCUCCGUGAGGUAGUUGUGGUUCUUUCGGCGGUCCGUGUCCUCCGCAUCAGAGUUCAAGGAGCUUCCCGAGGGGGAAGUUGGAGGGCUGAACGCCGGCCCCGUGCGUUUCCUAUGGAGCUCCUCCUCCUCAUCCUCG